rnacentral:lncRNA from 1 species
UAUUUUUAUGCGGCGCAUAGCACAAAUUUCACUUUUACUUCUGGAGCUUCCUGCAAGAAAUUCAGUAUACUCUGGAUACUUUUUAUUCGGCUUUUCGUGUUUUAGCCUUAUUUCAUUAAAACCGGUUUGCUCCAUUUCUUCUCUUUGUUUACAAUGUUUUUCUUUUUGACAGCAGCUGAUAAUUUGCAAACCAGUAUUGCAAAUAAUACAAUGGCGUUUUAGUGUUGCUUAUUUAAAAGGGUGUAGCAAGUGCAUCGCUAUACAGUUUGUUAGUGUAAAAGCAAAAAUAUGCUCGCUAAUUUGCAAUUGCAAAGAUGCAAGACCAUUUGCACCAGAUUGUGAAUUGCCCUCAUAUAUAAUUAACCCUUCGUUGCAUAGCAUUGCAUAUAUGCAAUGUUAACUUCUCGUUGAUCUGGCAGCUACGUCGUUUUUUAAUUUACAGUUAUUUUUUCGCCAUAUGAAAAUUGUACGUUAUUACUAUUCUCCUUUGAUAGAGUUUCGCAAAUAUUGUUGAGUUUUUGUGAAUAUACCUAGUAAGGAGUAAACUUCUUUCUGAUAUAUUGAAAACGAAGUACUAAAUUUUCAUUAUUUUUGUGAAUUAUUGAGAAUGUGUAAUCAAAUGUAAGUACUUCCUAUUAGUUUGGAGAGCAAUUAUUGUUGAGUUUUUGUGAAUAUACGUAGUAAAGAUUAAACUUCUUUUUGAUAUAUUGAAAAUGUGUAAUCAAAUGUAAGUACUUCCUAUUAGUUUGAAGAGUUUCUUGCCCAAAUAACAAAUUCGGCCUUCACACUAAUUAUUUUUGCGAGAGUUAUAAUGUAUCAUUGCAUAUGUGCAAUAUCAUGCAUUUAAGCCAAAUUUUUACUUGCAGGGCGCUUACUGAUAAUGAUAGUGAUUGAAUAAUAGAAAACUAUAAUGACUGCAAAGAUGAGUAUUUUGAUGAUGAUGAUGAAGAAAAGUUUGAAUUGGAUAUAUAUCGACACGAAUAUAACCACGGAGAAGCAAGCCCAUCAAUACACAAUUUUAAAGAAGAUGACAUGGAACGUAUCCCCCAUUUUACUAUAGGAAACGCCUCUUUUUUUACACGGAUUUCUGAGGAACGUAUCUACCGUCUAAGUAGUAUGUUUUGGCUGGUAUAUCUGGAUAUAUGUAUGUACUUACAACUUCGAAAUAUUUAUUGGCCGAGAAAACAACAGCAUCAAUAGACUUCCUGAAGAAAUUGAUUUGGGAUCAAGUCCCAACUUAGUUAUAAUAGAAUAUUACUAAAGGAUUUUCCCCCACAAAAAAAAAUAAAAAAGUAAAAAGUUUUUUUUUGUAAUUACUACACAUCUUUUGCCACCUAUGCACAUGUGAAAUUUACUCACUGGGAACAGUUGGUUGAUAAGAAAUUUGGCCAGAAAAUAACGGUCGCUUGCACAAACGUUCUAUCUAAAAAACACCAGAAAAAUGACCCCAUCCCUGAAAAUGAAUUACGGUUGGACCACGUGGAUCACUGGCCAACAUGGGUGGACACUCGAGUCACUUGCAAAUUUGUGACGGAUAUACGUGCAUAUUUUGAAAUUAAUUUAUGUUUCAGCAAAUUAAGACAUUGUUUCGAAAAAUUACAUAUCGAAUAAAUUUACAUUUAUUGCAAAAGUAAUGAAUAUACUUCUGUCCACUUUUAUUCAAUAAAAUAAAGAGCAUAUCCAUACAGUAAGUUCCUUGUAAAUUAAUUAGGUUUGCUGCAUGAUAUUGCAUAUAUGCAAUGUUACGUAAUUCUAUCGCUAGAAACAUUGCAACCAUAAAAUUUAUAAUUUUUCAUCUUAUAAUAGCCCACAUUAAGAAUCUGAUUUCAAAAAUUUUUUAUUCUCACGAAAAUUAAACCAUGCAACGAAGGGUUAAGCCGCGGAUAGAGCGCAUUAAGUCCUCUGCAGGUGCA